AUUGGGUUUAAAGUGCACGCAGGCGGUUUGUUAAGUCAGAUGUGAAAUCCCCGGGCUCAACCUGGGAACUGCAUCUGAUACUGGCAAGCUUGAGUCCCGUAGAGGGGGGUAGAAUUCCAGGUGUAGCGGUGAAAUGCGUAGGGAUCUGGAGGAAUACCGGUGGCGAAGGCGGCCCCCUGGACGAAGACUGACGCUCAGGUGCGAAAGCGUGGGGGAGCAAACAGGAUUAGAUACCCGGGUAG
rnacentral:rRNA from 1 species